rnacentral:rRNA from 1 species
UACGGAGGGUGCGAGCGUUAUCCGGAAUCACUGGGCGUAAAGGGCGCGUAGGCGGCCCGUCAAGUCCGGCGUCAAAGCCCGGGGCUCAACCCCGGUAAGGCGCCGGGUACUGGCGGGCUCGACGGCCGGAGAGGCGAGCGGAAUUACCAGUGUAGCGGUGGAAUGCGUAGAUACUGGUAGGAACACCCAUUGCGAAGGCAGCUCGCUGGACGGCGCGUGACGCUGAGGCGCGAAAGCGUGGGGAGCAAACCGG